rnacentral:lncRNA from 1 species
CAUGUGCUCAAAACCCAACUCGAUUCCGUUGCUAAGAGUUUGCUGAGCAAGUCCCUGUACGGAAACAUGGUUGGAGUCGUUGGUUCUAUGUGGGUUCUGGGCAGCAGCUACUUUUUCUUUGUUUUUGGAUUUGUAAGAAGAUACAUGCUCAGGUAUGGUCAAGUUCGAGUCAAUGAUUUUCCCAGAUGAAAAGUUUGAUGGAUUUGAACUGAUUAAUGGGUUUCUUUUUUUAGAUUCCAUUUCUGCAAUUAAAGAUUGCUUAAAGAAAAGUUGUAUGUAAUUGAUUUUCUGCUAUAAUGUUUUGAAUUUCUUAUUUAUAUAGUUCUACAUAUUCUUUGUUUGCAUUUAUUUUACUUGAUUGUAUUAGUGGUUGCUUUUGUUUUCACCCAGCUACCAAAACUUUGCCUACACUAUCCAUCUCUGUUCUCCGCCGUCCAUCACCGUAAGUCCUUUUUCUUUUUCCAGAAUUUUCAAUCCUUUUAUGUUUCAUUUUCUGAAAUUUUCAUGUUUCUAUGCAUAUAUAUAUAUAUAUAUGUGUAUAUAUUGUUAGAUAUGGGACUGUAAGCAGUAGUGGAUUAGUUGGUUCUACUUCUGCAUUUCCUCUUCAUUAAAAUGUUUACUUACCUACUUUUAAGCGUCUUUGUUUAUGUAAGACCGACAAUGGGUUAGCGGUAACUCCUUUUUUACAUCAUAUUCCAUUCCAUAAUAUUACACUAUUGCAUUUGGAAUAGCAACAUUUAUUCGGUGUCACCUAGAAAGUUUGUUGAUAUAUCAUGUCAUAUGUUUUUUAUAAUCUAUUUGACAUUCCCGCGGCAACGCGCGGGCAACCGUUCUAGUAUAUAUCUAAAUGCUUUAGAUGGUAGUCUUGUUGUGAAGGCAUCUUUUCCUUUAUAUUAAAAGGUUUUUUUUAUCCGCAGCAUGUUUCUACAAAUAUAGAUGCACCAUUUUCCAAACAUGGCCGUUGCUUUUGAUUUUUAGUCUGCAAGGCAAGUUUUCUUGUAGGUAGCAGUACCACUAUUCAAACAUAGCUGUUGUUUUUAGCUUUUUGUCUACACGGCAUGUUUCCUUGUAGAUAUCUGCACCAUUUUUCAAACAUAGCUGUUGCCUUAACCUUCCAAUCGGGUACAGCUGCUGUGCAGCACCCGUGAGCCGAUAUAGUUUUGACCUUUGGACCUAGCUUCUUGGUAGUCAAGUAUAUAUGACAAUUAUUGUUUUCAAAGCAUUAGACUCUCUUUUUUUUUUUUUUGGGACUUUUGCCUUGAUUUUUUUUACGUAAGUGAAAACCACCCAUGCUUUAAACUCUCGUAUACGAAGAGUUCAAACAAAUACUAGCAUAUGUCAAUUCAAACAAAUGCUAAUUCCAUUAAAGGAAAAAUAUAUAAUUUUUGAUGAGUUAUGGUUGCAUCUAAUUUUGGGGAUCAGAUUGCCUACGUACCCUGUGAAGGGAUCAAGCCAAACGUAGUUCAUCCCUUGAUUUCGGGAAAAAUGGUUUUUACGGCUGUAUCUAGUGAUAAAACUAGACUACCUACGUACCUUGUAAAAGGAUCAAGCCGAACGUAGUUCAUCCCUUAAUUUUGGGAAUUAUUUUUGUUUUUAUAUUUUUCAUGUUUUUUUAUGACUGCACCUAGCUUUAAUGCUAGGCUGCCUACGUACCCUUUUUGAGGGAUCAAGUCAUACGUAGUUCAGAGGAAAGGAUUUUAUCUUGACUUGCUUCCUCUGCACUUGUUUCCCUCUCGGAGUUUGUUUCACAUUGUUUAUGCGUAGAACUUCUUCAUGAGCUUUCCAUUAAUGCAUGGGUAUAUGCAUUUCCCAUUGGCAUUAGAGAGUUCGUAGGCACCUUUGGUGAAGACUUUGGUGACAACAUAAGGUCCUUCCCAUUUGGCUUCAAAUUUUCCUUGCAUCUUUUUGGUGAUGACGCCGGGUCUUCGGACAGUUAAGACUAAAUCUCCAACAGAGAACGAUCUAAACUUAACCUUUUUGUUAAAUGCACCUGCCACUUGAGCUUGAUAGACUUCAAGUCUUUGUUGCAUUGCAAGUCGUUUUUCAUCAAGUGCUUCAAGUUCCGCUAGCCUGAUUUUUACAUUUUCUUCGGGAUUUGUCAGUUGUGUGGCUACUCUUACGGAAGGUAGUUGAAUUUCCAAAGGUAGCACAGCUUCUGAUCCAUACACCAGACUAUAUGGAGUACAUCGGGUGGAUGUACGGACGAUGGUGCUAUAGGCCUAUAAUGCUUCGGGAAGGCAUUCAUGCCAGUCUCUUUUAUUCUUUGCCACCAUCUUUUUCAGGAUGUUGCACAACACUUUGUUGAAAGCUUCUGCUUGACCAUUGGCAGUUGGGUUAUAACUUGCGGAGAAGACUUGUUGAAUGUUGUACUUUUUGCAAAGAUUAUCCAUGGCCCUACACUUGAAGUAAAGAGCGUUGUCUGAGAUUAUUUUGGACGGGACUCCGUAGCAAUAGAUUAUGUUUUUCUUUAUGAAUUUUGCAACAUCUUCCGCUUUCACUUCUUUUAACGGUAUUGCCUCAGCCCACUUUGAGAAAUAGUCUGUGCCUGCUAGGAUGUACUGAUGUUGGAGGGACAAUUUUGGGGUUAUCAUGCCUAUCACAUCUAAACCCCAUGCAUUGAAUGGCCAAGACAAAAUGGUCGGAUGGAGGGGCAAUGGAUUUUGGUGCUUGAAGUCUCCAUGUAUUUGACAUGCCCGACAUGAUUUCACAUGUUUCAUCGCAUCUUGAACCAUUGUAGGCCAGUAAUACCCAAGCCUUUUCAAUUGAGCUGCAAGCUUAGGUCCAAAUUGAUGGGAUCCGCAAAUACCGGCAUGAGUUUCGGAGAGAGUAUAGGCUGCUUCUUCUUUUGAUAAACACCUUAGCAAUAUUCCGUCAAAAGACCUUUUGUAUAGUGUGUCAUUCAGAUACACAAAUCGGUUGGCCCUUCUUCGUACAUCAACUCUUCCUCUGGGAUCAGUUGGUAGUUUUCCAUAUUGAAGAUAGUCAAUCAAAGAUUGCCGCCAAUCAGAACAUUCAUCUACUUCUAGGACUGUAACCGCGUUGACUUCAUGGUUUUCUUCAUCCGCUCUAGUGUUGAAGGAAGUAAAUGUCGUUCUCCCACUGUAAUUUUAACUUCUGGUUCCUCAGGGAGAGUUAAAGAUGCCGCUAGCUUUGCCAAUGCAUCGGCUUUGUUAUUUUCAGACCUUGGAAUGUGAGCAAUGUUGAUUUCUUGGAAUUGUGACACCAAGUGUUUUGCUCUUUCAUGAUACAAGGUUAGAUUUUCAUUUUUCACAGCAUAUUGACCAUUCAUUUGCUUGAUGAUUAGUUGUGAAUCACCAUAAACUUGAAGGCAAUCAACAUGUAGUUCGAGUGCAAUUUCAAGUCCAAUGAUGAGUGCCUCGUAUUCUGCCACAUUGUUUGAACGUAACUCCAUGAGCGAAAAUGAAUAUGGGAUUAGACCUCCACAUGGUGUGAUGAACACAAUACCUACCCACGUGCCUUUUUUCCUUGCCGCUCCGUCAAAGUAAAGUUGCCAUUGAGAAACGUAUGUCAAGAAUACUUCUUCAUCCGGCAAAUCGCUUGGUAACUCCAUGUUGUCGGAAACAGGAUGAGCUGCUAAGAAAUCAGCUAGUGCUUGUCCCUUUAUAGCUUUUUGAGAGACAUACUUGAUUUCAAAUUCCGAUAGUAGCAAAGACCAUUUUGCAAGACGACCGGAUGGCACUGGUUUUGACAUCAAGUAUCUGAGCGGGUCCAUUUUAGAUAUCAAAGUAAUGCUGUGUGACAGUAAGUAAUGUCGUAGUUUUUGCACAGCAAAAACUAAGGCUAAGCAAACCUUCUCAAUAGGGGUGUAAUUUUGCUCUGCCCCUACAACUGUUCGACUUAAAUAGUAGAGCGCAUUUUGUUUUCCUUCUUCAUUGUUUUGUGCAAGCAUUGCCCCUAGUGAGCGUUCAAGUGCUGUGAUAUACAAAAUUAAAGGUUUCCCUUUAAUUGGAGCCAUCAACACCGGGGGUUUCAAAAGAUAUUCUUUAAUGCUACUGAUAGUGUUUUGACAUGCAUUAUCCCAUAUGAAAGGCACAUCCUUUUUCAUCAGCCUUGUGAAUGGUUGACAUCUCCCAGAUAAGUUUGAGAUGAAUCUCCUGAUGUACACCAAUCUUCCUUGUAGUCCUCGUAGCUCUCGUAGGUUUCGAGGAGGAGGCAUUUCCAUGAUUGCCUUGAUUUUUGAAAGGUCGACUUCAAUUCCUCGGUACCUUACCACAAAGCCAAGAAAUUUUCCAGAUGUCACUCCAAAUGCGCAUUUUAAAGGAUUCAUCUUUAAUUGAUGUUUUCGGAAUCUGUCAAAGACUUUCUUUAAGUCGUUCAAAUGAUGUUCCCUUUUUCUUGUUUUGAUGACAAGAUCGUCCACAUAACAUUCGAUGGUGCUAUGUAACGUAUCACUGAAAAUGACUGUCAUGGCUCUUUGGUAUGUGGCUCCUGCAUUUUUUUAGUCCAAACGGCAUUACAGUGUAGCAGUAGAUUCCUUUCGGAGUAUGGAAUGUUGUAAGUUCUUCAUCUUCAGGUGCCAUUUUAAUUUGAUUGUACCCUGAGAAUCCAUCCAUGAAAGAUAGAGCCUCAAAACCAGUUGUGGCGUCUACCAAUAAUUCAGUUAUUGGAAGCGGGAACUCGUCUUUUGGACAUGCGUCAUUAAGAUCUCUGAAAUUUAUGCAGACACGAAUUUGUCCAUUUUUCUUCUUUACCGGUAUGAUACUGGCGAGCCAUGUAGGGUACUGAACUUCUCUGAUAAACCCAACGUCUAUCAGUUUGUCAAUUUCAACCUUAAUUUGUACUUCAAGCUCAGGUCGAAAACGUCGUAGUGCCUGUUUAACAUAACGCCUUUCUUUUAAUACAGCCAAUCUAUGAACUGCCACCUUAGUGUCUAGACCAGGCAUAUCUUGAUAGCCCCAUGCAAACACAUCUCGGUAAUAUUGGAGAAGACAUUUGUAAUCUUCUAAUUCUUCCGGUGUUAGUAGGGCACUUACAAAUAUAGGCGUUGGCUCGUCAUCUGUUCCGAGAUUGAUUUCUCGAAGUUCAUCCACAAUGGCUUGCCCCCCAUUCUCUAUUUGAGGUGGUGCCGGUUGAGCGUUGUCAAUAAACUGGGUUGAGUUAUCACCAUUCUCAUCUUUUUCAUCUUUAAUGGUGACGUAGUUUUCCUGAGCAACAUUAUGAACCUCUUCUUCUGUGCUUGAUUCCUCAUCCAUUUCAUAAGCUUCACUUAGAAGUGGCGGUGCAUUGUUGUGGGUUCUGAAGCUUGCGCAAAUACGACUUUGCCCAUUUUUCUUUUUGACAAGAAAGCAGGUGGGGAACUGUCUAACAGGCUCAAUUGGCUCGUUAUCAGAUUCCUUGUUUCUUUCUUUGCUACCGAUCAUACUAACUUGAACAACAUCUCGUUCCUCUUCUUAUGCAUCAUUAUUUUUGUCUUGGUUUAUCUUCACCUUUUGGCUUUUGACUCUCCACUUUUUGCUUUUAUGAGAUUUCUUAGGCUGAGAGUUGGUGAUUUUACCAAGUCGUUGGAAGACCGAGACUCGAGGUGGCUUGCUGUUGGAUUCUUCUUCAGUCAACAUUUCUUUCUCUAGAUUAGUAAAGCCUUCAAACUUAUGAUUCUUGGUUUCCGAGACAAAUGCUUUGAGCAUUCCAUUUCCUUGGUGCACCGUGACAUUGAUAGUACUCAUUUUAGCUUUGUGCCUCUUCGCUUUUAUCUUUCACUUUUGACGAGGAAUUAUUUCUUUUGAACGAAACAAUGCGACCAUGUCGACCAUUAUUCCUUUGUAAAUUUGUUGAGACUAUCAAAUUGCCUCCAGGAAUUGAUUGGUUAAUUCUACGCAGAGGCUUCGUGUAGCUGGUUACGAGUGCUUCAAAUGCAUUUUGGAUUUGUUCCAUUGCUUUCUUUUCAGGUUCUCUUCGAUCUUUUAACGGGCCAUUGAGAACUACUUUUUUGGAUUUUGGAGUUUUAGAACUCGCAAUUUUGACUAGCCUUGACGGCUUUGCCUUUUCCACAGCUGAUGAUUGUGAUUCCUUCUGCACUACUUCAUUUUUACUGGUUGUGAAAAAGUGACCUUUGACUGUUUGUAAAAUUUUGCAUCUGCAUAAUUCACUUCUUAACCCAUAAAUGGGUCGGUGUCCGCUAGAACUGCCUUGACCUCGCCCUUUAUCAAAAACUUGAAGCACUGAUGGAGUGUAGAAGGAACAACACCAUAUGUAUGAAGCCACGGACGCCCUAAUAAAACAUUGUAAGAUGUGUUAGCAUCGAUUACAUGGAAAAGGGUGUCGGAGUACAACUCUCCUAUCUCCAUUUGUAAGGCUAUCGUUCCCAUUGCUUUUUGUCCGACUUGAUUGAAGCCUUGAAUAGUUAGCAUUGAUGGUGUUAGUUGACGAAUGUUAAUCCCCAAAGCUCGAAGUGUUCGAAGAUGAAGCAGGUUUACUGCUAAUCCACAAUCAAGCAAGAUUCGAUUUAUCGAUGUAUCUCCCACUAGUCCACUGACGUACAAAGGUCGAUUAUGAUACUCGUCUCCAAGUAUAAGGUCAUUUUCAUCAAAUAUGAUACUUGCGAGGCAGCAAGCGCAAUACUUUGGCGACGUUGUAUCCACUUCUGCGAAUUUGAAGUUUGUUUCAAAUACUUCAGGAUUUGUCAAAGCCGUAAUAAGUGCUUCUCUAAGGUCUUUUGACAUUUUCAGAGCAUCGUACACAUUGAGAAGAGAUGGAAUACGCUUAAGAUGGUCGAUGAUGUCAUAUUUGCCAUCCUGGGACUGUAGCACAUCUUUUCCAUGUCUCUUAGAGGUACUUGCUUUUGUGGUUGAGACUGAAAUUUCUACUGCAGGCUCUGUAAUGACUGGAACUUGUCUUGCACUUGGUUUAUCGGAAUGUCUGACUGAAUCAUCUACUUAUUUUCCUUCUUUUUUGUCCACAGACGGGAUCCUUUGGCCAGAGCGUAGAGUUAUUUCAUCUACCUCAUCAUCGUUGUGGAUUUCACAUGAGGCGUGCGACAAUUUCCAAUUUCUUACUCACCUCCCUUACUCUUAAAAAGUUUUGAAGGGAGGUAGUCUCCAAAGGUUAUUGGUGCUCUGAAAAGCUGCUUGUACUCAUCAUCUUGAAAGACUUUAGGCCUUUUCUGAGUACCUUUCUUCUUUUUCUUUCCAUCUUUUGAGGGUGGUUCACUCCAUAAUUUUCCUUUUGAUCGCUUUGUGGAAGAAAGACGUUUAACAAUCUUUUUCACCUUCUUUUCACUGACGGUUUGCCAGUCGUCCUUGAACUCGAGUGAUGACUCCGAAGAAUCUUCCCAAACAUCAAUGGUGCUGUCAUGAGCUCGUACAGUGUUGGAAUUUUUGGAUUUCCGGAACAAGGCAUGCCAAGAUAAGCAUAGACAACUGUGGUUUCAUUAUCGACAUGGAAUCCUACGGGGAUUGCCCCUUCUGGUAAUGGAGCGGAGGGUGUUGAUUUUCCUUCAAUCAUAUUGGACGUUGCCGUCUGAUGUUUCGAGGAUGAAUCCACCUCGAUCUCAUGCUUGUUGAUUUUUUUCUUGAAUUAUAUCUGUUUGUACCAUACUUGACCAAUCCCGAAACUACCGAGCACCGGCCAACGCUAUACUGUCAAGGACCCAGAAGAGUUCCCCUCCGACCAGGAGGCCAAUCACUACUCGACACGUGUCAAGAUUAGAAGCCAAUCAGAGCGCAGCACGUGUCAACAUCAAGAACCAAUCAUAACAUGACACAUGUCAAUGUGACAAAGCUACAAGUUUUUCUAUAAAUAGGGGUCAUUCCCCCACAAUAUUGCCUAAUGCUAUUUUGUGUUAAAUCAUUCACAAGAACUCACUAAAUUGAGAGCUUGAUCCUUUGUACUUGUGUAAGCCCUUCACUACUAAUAAGAACUCUUCUACUCCGUGGACGUAGCCAAUCUGGGUGAACCACGUACAUCCUGUGUUUGCUUCUCUGUCUCUAUUCAUUUACGUACUUAUCCUCACUAGUGACCGAAGCAACCAAGCGAAGGUCAUAAAACCUGACACUUUUUCUGUUGUACCAAAGUCUUCGCUGAUUUUGUGCAUCAACAUUUGGCGCCGUCUGUGGGAAACGACACUUAUUCCUACUCUCUUCAGCUGUGUCAAGCUGGUUUCUAUCAUUCGUACACUUUCUUUUGAUCAGGCAUCCCUCUCCAGCAUGGGAAGCGAAGGAAGCCACAGCACACAGAAUGACACCCCCCUUGCACAUAGUGCGAAACAACGAAAGAAGGAAGGAAAACGAGUUCUUCUUCAAGCUAAAGUCGAUGAGUUGGAAGCUCAGAACAACAAGAUAGCAAUGAGGAAUGAGGUCCUCCCAGGAGCAAUAUGAGAAGCUCUUCGAGACACUUCACGAAGCUAGGCAAGCUCAGACACGCGAGCUUGUUGCCCCCAUGGAAGUCAACCAUCAACUGGGUGCCCUCCAACAUGGAGGGUCACAUGCAUUCGACAUAGAUAUCCCUGAUAGGGAACAAAUUACCCCUCGACUUGAUAAUCAACAUGAGGCUUCUCUUAACCCAGUUGCUUCGACCCGAACCAUGAGAAGUGGAGGGAGACACCUCUUUGCUGAAGGGGCAGAAGGAUCGAAAGCCGUCUUUCGCGAUUGUCGGGAUUUCCUGAAGCAACGUCGAGAGAAUUCCAUCCAUAUAAGCUCAAAGAUUAAUGACCCAAGGAUUUCUGAGAGACUCGGUCCCCCUGCCACGGCCCAAGCCGGCCACCAAUUUGGGGAAGGGGCAACAAGUCCUAGAGAGACAUGAAGGUACAGGGGACUCAGAGGUGUUCCGACAGACAUACCCUGGAAGCCAGUACAGCGAGUCCAGGGAAAAAUCACAUGCCCUUGAUCAAACCUUCCUAAUUCCAAGAGGAGAUGGAGAUUUACGAAAGAAAGCUCCAGUGGCACAUAACUCCGCUCAGGACCCCCUUGUCCUACAACUUCUUGAGGAAGUAAACAAGUUGAAGGCUGAACGUCAGGCUGAAAUACCUGACUGGAACCAACCCAGGCCUGGCCCUCUUACAAGGAGGAUCCUCAACACCCCCCUUCAAGCAAAGACAAAGCAGAAGCUUGGCUUGCAACUUUAUACUGGAAAAGAGGACCCGAUUGAGCACCUUAACCUCUUUGAGUCCACCAUGGCAUACCGGAUGCACACCGACGAAGAGCGAUGUCUUCUCUUCCCCUCCACCCUCUCUGGCGGAGCUCUAAAUUGGUAUUGUCUUCUUACACCUGAGACGGUAGACUCAUUUGAGGAAUUGAGGAAACUAUUUGUUUCCCAACACAUUUUCCAAACCGAUCGCUUGCACUCUGCAGAUGACCUGUACACUAUCCGCCAGAGGCCAGACGAGUCAUUACGUAUGUAUGCUGGCCGCUUCAGCCAUGAAUACUCCCGGUGUGCCGAGGCAGACGACAAGACUGCCCUCAAAGCCUUCACGGCAGGCCUACGUGAUUGUUUCUUUAAAUACAUGAUCAAUGCCAAUACUUGGAAGACUUACUCUGAGGUGAUGGCGCAGGCUUAUAAACCAUGCCUCCGCCGAGGCAAAGACAUAUCAGGAGAAACCCCCUCACCCAACGCCAUGGAGGAAGAACUAGCAAUAGCUAAAGUUUGACGGUUGGGAAAGAUCAUCCAAUGUUUCUCUAGUACAGGACUCUAACAAAGACCCUGAAGACUCCGACAUUGCAGACUCAGACUUAGAGCUAAAGCUAGAAGAGCCCUCAUCACUAGAACUUCCAGGCUCUGACAUCUACAAUAAGAAGAAACAAAUUCUAUCACUACAUGCAUGAUCAAAACAUAAGGAAGUUCCUAUAUUACCCACAUGAAGAUGGUGCAAAGCGAUGCCGGAACCCUUCUCAAUCAGAAAGCAAUCCGUCUUCCACAGUCACUACAAAACAAGCAAAUGAAGACCGUGUCAAGCGCCAAAAAAAAAAAAAAAAAAAAAAACAGCUUCAUCCAAAAAGCUUCACCCGAAAAGCUUCACCUCCAAAACUUUUGGGAGGUGGACCUAUGUUGAUGCACAAAACCGGAUGGUCUUGGUACAACGUAAAUCCGACCGUGAAUCUGCAUGAAAUGUAAAUGACACAAGAGUUAUCGUGGUUCACCCCAAGGUUUGGGCUACGUCCACACUGAUUGUAUAUUUAUUUGAGGGAAUAGAGAGGAAGAGGGUGAAAGCUUCUGAGAGCUUCUGAGGAUGAGAGAGGGGAUCUCAGGCCUAGGAAUUGGCCUCCGAGAGUGAGAGUGAGGCCUUUCCUAAUUGUGAGGGUGAGGGGUCCUUUUAUAGAAUAAGGACUCCUCACUUAUUACAUAUUUGCCCCUUCCUUUAUCCCAUAAUUACAUUUAAGUCCCCUGAGUAUUUGUACGAGAUCUAAAUACGAGGUCCUAAAUAUGGUAUAAACAGUAAAUGUUGAUGCACAAAACCGGAUGGUCUUGGUACAACGUAAAUCCGACCGUGAAUCUGCAUGAAAUGUAAAUGACACAAGAGUUAUCGUGGUUCACCCCAAGGUUUGGGCUACGUCCACACUGAUUGUAUAUUUAUUUGAGGGAAUAGAGAGGAAGAGGGUGAAAGCUUCUGAGAGCUUCUGAGGAUGAGAGAGGGGAUCUCAGGCCUAGGAAUUGGCCUCCGAGAGUGAGAGUGAGGCCUUUCCUAAUUGUGAGGGUGAGGGGUCCUUUUAUAGAAUAAGGACUCCUCACUUAUUACAUAUUUGCCCCUUCCUUUAUCCCAUAAUUACAUUUAAGUCCCCUGAGUAUUUGUACGAGAUCUAAAUACGAGGCCCUAAAUAUGGUAUAAACAGUAGUCCCCCAAGUCUUCAGUCAAGAGAGUCUUUUGGCUGGAGACUUGAAAUUCAGUCCAUGUGUGGGCCGAAGUAACUAGAUGUCGUCUUGAACUGGUGCUUGAUAUGAGGCGGUGCCCAAUCUGAAAUGAUGCUCAACUAGAAGUAGCACCUGUUGCGAGGCCGCUCUGCUUGUGGCUUAUAUUGCCUUGGUUGGCUCGGCUUGUGGUGUUAAAGGUGAGGGAGUCCUUUUUAUAGAAUAAGGAUUUCAUGCCUCUUCACCAUCAAAGCUUCACCUACAAAAGCUUCACCCACAAAGCUUCACCUAAAAAGCUUCACCCACAAAGCUUCACCCAAAAAACUUCACCCGAAAAGCUUCACUUAAAAAAGCUUCACCUACACAGCUUCACCUAAAAAAGCUUCACCUAGAAAGCUCCCUCUACAUACUUUCACCAUCAAAGCUUCACCAUCAAAGCUUCACCUAGAAAGCUUCAACACAAAACCUUGCUCCAAAUAAACAAAUUUUGUUCACAAAACCCAAGAUGCCCUUGAACUUGUACAAAAACACUUGGGUAAACAUAAACAUUUUUUGUUUUACACCCACAAGGGCCCAAAAUUUUCCUUCUUAUUUUUUCACUUAUAUAUGUUCCCAAACAUAUUAUGAUAGAUCAAAUAAUAAUUCAAAGUCCAAAAUUUAGUUGUGGACAAAAAUACAAGCAAUUCACCAGUACUGAAGUUGCUACAAAAACUGGAAUCUUCCCCAGCCUAGAAAUCCAACAAAGCUUCGCCUCCUUUUCUCUAUCAAAUUUUUGCAACUGCUGCUUUUCUCCAAUGGAGCUGAAUUUUGGACACCCUCUAGUUCUUGAGCAGAUGAACAACUUUCAAGAAGGAACCAUUUCUGUUUGAGCCACGGAAAUUAAAGUGUUGAAGCUCCAAGCAUGACAGUCGGAUUCUUGCAGAUUUCGAAGUUGCUGUGAUGUUUCGAAGAUCUGGAAAUAUUUAACCAUUAGUUCAUUCUGAAUUUUUGAUAUGUUAUGAAAAGAGACGAUGAGGAACAACUUCAAUGAAGAAAGCAUGCUGAUCUGAACAAUCGAAAAUGGAGUUUCGAAGCUCACAACAAAUCUGACGGGUUGACAGAAAAAUAAUAACCAGUCAUUCAUCAUACCUGAAUUUCUUGAGUUAUACUGCUCCGAGGGAUCUCAAAUUUGGAUAUGUUGUAGUUCACAAGCUGAGGAACAACUUCAAUGAAGAAAGCAUGCUGAUCUGAGCAAGAGAAAAUAGAGUUUCAAAGCUCACAACAAAUCUGACGGGUUGACAGACAAAUGAUAAACAGUCACUCAUCAUACCUGGAUUUCUGGAGUUGUACUGAUCUGAUGGCUCUCAAAUUUGGAUAUGUUGUAGUUCACAAGCUGAGGAACAACUUCAAUGAAGAAAGCAUGCUGAUCUAAGCAAGAGAAAAUAGAGUUUCAAAGCUCACAACAAAUCUGACGGGUUGACAGACAAAUGAUAAACAGUCACUCAUCAUACCUGGAUUUCUGGAGUUGUACUGAUCUGAUGGCUCUCAAAUUUGGAUAUGUUGUAGUUAAGGAAUUAAAGAACAACUUUCAUGAAGACAACUUUGUGAUUCGAGCUACAGAUGAUGGUCUUAUAUUGAAAACCAAUUCAGGGUGUUAAGGGAAAUGAAAAACAAUUCCACCAAAGAAACAUCAUUAUGAUGUUUCAUCAUUAUGGUGUUUUCAUCAUUAUGAUGCUUUCAUCAUUGUGAUGCUUCCAUCAUUGUGAUGCUUCCAUUAUGAUUGUAAUGCACCAACGGUUACACCCUCUAUCAUAGCAGUAUGUGUGUGUAUCUCCCUAUAGCAAGACACCUCAUUCGUCAACUCCCUCGACUAGAGACUUGGGGGACUCCCACCAUAUGCUACUAUGCCUUGGUACUCAAAAGUUCGUGACUACUCAGUGGCUUGGAUUUUUCAAGUCUCCAACCGAGAAGUUUUCCUCACUCGGGAAAUUAAGGGAACACUACCUCAAACUACAUGCUUCACUCACAAAGCUUCAACAAUACAGGUUUCAACAAAAGCAAAAAUUCAAAGAACUUUAUGAAGAACGUAAAUCCGACCGUGAAUCUGCACCAAAUGUUGAUGCACAAAACCGGAUGGUCUUGGAACAACGUAAAUCCGACCGUGAAUCUGCAUAAAAUGUAAAUGACACAAGAGUUAUCGUGGUUCACCCCAAGGUUUGGGCUACGUCCACACUGAUUAUGUAUUUAUUUGAGGGAAUAGAGAGGGAGAGGGUGAGAGCUUCUGAGAGUUUCUGAGGGUGAGAGAGGGGAUCUCAGGCCUAGGAAUUGGCCUCUGAGGGUGAGAAUGAGGCCCCCCCAAUUGUGAGGGUGAGGAGGCCCUUUUAUAGAAUAAGGGCUCAUCACCUAAUUACAUAUUUGCCCCUUCUUUUAUCCCAUAAUUACAUUUAAGUCCCCCAAGUAUUUGUACGAGAUCUAAAUACGAGGCCCUAAAUAUGGUAUAAACAGUAGUCCCCCAAGUCUUCAGUCAAGAGAGUCUUUUGGCUGGAGACUUGAAAUUCAGUCCAUGUGUGGGCCGAAGUAACUAGAUGUCGUCCUGAACUGGUACUUGAUAUGAGGCGGUGCUCAAAGUGAAAUGAUGCUCAACUAUAAGUAGCACAUGCUGCGAGGCCGCUUUGCUUGUAGCUUGAGUUGCCUUGGUUGGCUCGGCUUGUGGUGUUGAAGGUGAGGGAGUCCCUUUUAUAGGAUAAGGGCUCACUCCUCAAUACAUAAGUGAUGGGCUAGAGUCCCCCAAGUAUUUUUCAUGAGUGCUCUCUAAAAGUGAAGGAGUCCCUUUUAUAGAAUAAGGGCUCGCUCCUCAAUACAUAAGUGAUGGGCUAGAGUUGAUGCUCGCGGCGAGGCGGUUGCUCAGCUGGCGGCGUUUCUCUCUAAUGAAGGUGAGGGAGUCCCUUUUUAUAUAGAAUAAGGGCUCACUCCUCAAUACAUAAGUGAUGGGCUAGAGUCCCCCAAGUAUUUUUUAUGAGGGCUCUCUUGAGGCCCAAUAUAUGGUACAUAAUGUAGUCCCCCAAGUCUUCGGUCAAUAGAGUCUGUUGGCUGAAGACUUCAAAUUGAAUCCAUGUAUGGGCCGAAGUGGCGGUUGUUAGGAGGCGAUAUUUGUAUACCUUGCACUGAAGCUUUGUAGGUGAAGCUUUGUAGGUGAAGCUUUGCAAGUGAAGCUUUGAAGCUAGAGCUCUGUAAAUGAAGCUUUUAAAGCUAGAGCGUUUGUAAAUGAAGCUUUUGAAGCUAGAGCUCUGUAAAUGAAGCUUUUGAAGCUAGAGCUCUGUAAACGAAGCUUUUGAAGCUAGAGUUCUGUAAAUGAAGUUUUUGAAGCUAGAGCUCUUGUAAAUGAAGCUUUUGAAGCUGAUUGACAUGAGUGAUGCUCAUGAAUGUUUAUGUUGAUUGACAUGAGUGAUGCUCAUGGAUGUUGUCAUGAGUGAUGCUUAUGAAUGUUUAACAUGAGUGAUGCUUAUGAAUGUUGACAUGAAUGAUGGUCAUGAAUGUUUAUGUAUGAUUAUCAUGAGUGAUGCUCAUGAAUGUUUAUGUAUGAAUGACAUGAGUAGUGCUUAUGUAUAAUUUGGAGUACUAGGCGUACUUUUGAUCACCUAGUUGGUGCUAUUUUGGGCUUAUGGGUCUUCGCUCUCCACAACAUGCCAGCCCAUUUAUUUUGGGCUUUUCCUUUUUUUUUUUUUUUUUUUUUUUUUUUUUUUUUUUUUUUUGACCCUCUGAUGGGGUUUAUAUAUAUUACCCUCUGAUGGGGUUUAUACAGAUGUUUCCGAAAGAUAAUAAAAAUAAAUUACAUCAUUCGGGUGAGGUGUUUAUUCCUUGCUUUUGCAGUGUUUUUCUGCUCUGCCUUAACUUUCUACCGCACUCUCUGUCUUUUGCUUUCUUCUUUGUGAGCACAUGACCCCUCCAUGACUGCACCACUUUUUUCUUUUUCUUUUGCAUUGUCUCCCAUGUGCUCUCGAGGAGGGCCUCCAUUUUCUUUUUCUUUUUCUUUUGCACCUCUGUCUCCAUGUGCUCUCGAGGAGAGCCUCCAUUUUCUUUUUCUUUUUCUUUUUCUUUUGCUUUCUUAGUGACAUGAUGGCUGGAUUGCUUCACACUGGUGUGCAAUUGGCGCAUGCCAUCUCCACAAACUUCUUCAGACCCUUUCCUCCUUUUCCUUUUUCUUUUCUACUUUUGUUCCCACUGCUUUUGUUUUUUGCUUUCUCUUUUCUUUUGCUUUCGGCAUGCUGGGAUCUUCACUGCUUUUCCAGUCAGAUGUCACCAGCGGUGGAGCCAUGGACGUGGAACAGGAACUGCCGCGGAGAAAAGAUCGCACUUUCCAUUUGGUGGAGGUAUCUGGUCCUGAUCUCCAUCUCCUGGAACUUGCCUAGGAAUUGGCUCCUUUGAAUCCACAGUAUUUUUGGGAAAAAUGGGUUUCUUUUCAGUUUCAUACCCAUUCUACUGUUCUUUUAAGACCUCACUGUUUUCUUUUCAUUUUCAUCCACGACGCGAGCGGGCGACAACUCCACACCGUUCUUUAAGACCCCACUGAUACUAGGGAAGCAAAACACAACCGUUUAACCGGACCCAGUCUGAGCACAUGCUAUCAAGUCGCGGCCAGCCAUGGCUAUCGGAAUAGCGUGGCGCUGAAUCGGCGUGGGCUUCACGUACUUGCACCGGCCAAAUCGAUCUCGACAAAUGUGUCCACCGGUGGUGGAAUGUCCUCGUCGCUCACCUCCACCGGGAUGUCUUCGUAGGCGUCGAAAUUGAUACCGCCAUUUCCAUCGCCUGCGUCCUCAAUGAUUUUGAGCUGAUCAAAUUCCUCAGAGAACCCAAAAGCAGAAAACAGGAACGUGGCGUCUUCGAUGAGGUUCUGAUCGCUAGAGAUUUGGAGGGAUCGAUGGAUGAUGAAGGCGUAGAAAGCAGCUGCGUAGAGAAUCAGAGAUCCCACCUCUCAUUUCAACAACUUCAUAGCUCUUCCAUAGAGAAAGAGAGAAAGACAGUGGCACUGUCGCAGUCCACGGCCGGGUCAGAUCCGCCGCCUAAUCACCGCAGUUGAGCAUCAUCUUAAGGACUGGAAUAUGAUCUCCACAAUGUUCUUGCUAGUAUCUUCAGGACCCAAUUCAGAAACUGCAUGUCUAACAGCCUGGUAAAGCUCCAAGUUCUCAGCUUUCAUGAAAAUCUCACCACAUUCCGGACAAAGACAGAUGCUCCCCCUCAGAGAGAGGUCUCUAGUAAAUCCAAGAACAUGAUUAACCACCAUCCCCAUUAAUUUCAUGGAGUGGAGCUUUCAUGGAUCUGCUUGAAGUCUUAUUGCUGUGGCUGAUCACCGCGUGCUUGCCAGAACUUCACACCUCCGCCAUGCUCCCGUCGCGGGCCAGCUCUCCGUUCGACGCGCUGAGAUCAACGGUCGGCGCCAAUCCGCGUGUCUCGCUGUCCUCCCCGUUGUCCUCGAUCAACAUCGCGAUGAGCUGAAUCUGGCUGGUAGUGAGCGAAACGAACCGGGAACCGAAAUGUGGAGCUUGGUGGAGAGUUUGGAGGAUUUGCUGCCGGAGUAAUGGAGGAAAACCAACUCGCCAAAUGGAAAGCCGGGAUGCUUCUUGGGGACAAAGAGAUCGAGCAAAUCCGUUGGAGGUAAUCCAGCCUCUUCGAUCUGGGUCUCAGUUCGAUGAAGACCGUAGAAGUGGGUCCCUCUUCAAUGGGACCCCCUUUCCAACGAAACCAUUUCAGCUAGCUUCUCAUUCCCAUGGAUUCACACAAAGCUUUUUACGGAUUUGGGUUUUGGAUCUUCUUUUCUGGAAAAGCCCAGUGAGGUUUUUUGGGUUUCUUGCAGAUUUUGUAGAUUCACAGUGGAGGUGAAAAUUUGAGAGAAAACCGACAUAGCUUUUCGUGUCGAUUCCCACAGACGGCGCCAAAUGUUGAUGCACAAAACCGGAUGGUCUUGGAACAACGUAAAUCCGACCGUGAAUCUGCAUAAAAUGUAAAUGAACACAAGAUUUUAUCGUGGUUCACCCCAAGGUUUGGGCUACGUCCACACUGAUUAUGUAUUUAUUUGAGGGAAUAGAGAGGGAGAGGGUGAGAGCUUCUGAGAGUUUCUGAGGGUGAGAGAGGGGAUCUCAGGCCUAGGAAUUGGCCUCUGAGGGUGAGAAUGAGGCCCCCCCACAGACGGCGCCAAAUGUUGAUGCACAAAACCGGAUGGUCUUGGAACAACGUAAAUCCGACCGUGAAUCUGCAUAAAAUGUAAAUGACACAAGAGUUAUCGUGGUUCACCCCAAGGUUUGGGCUACGUCCACACUGAUUAUGUAUUUAUUUGAGGGAAUAGAGAGGGACACUAUCGCAUGAAAUCCUUUGUGUACAACCAUCCUUUAUCAACAAGUGGGAGGUGGAAGCCAGACUCACCUAAAUGAGAAGACCUCGACUUUCCAAACAGCAGUGGCACCUCCCCAUGCCUUGCAUAAUGCUUCGCCGAAUCAACAGACAUAUCAAUUUCAAGGCAAGAGGAAGGAUUUCCAUCCUCACCACUCUCAUUUCAGUAAAAAGAGUAAGGGACACUAUCCCGAUAACCAAGGGUAUCGCCACAAUAACGCUCGCCCCCAGGCAGUCAAUGCAGUGGGUCAAACCCGCGUCAAGAUACCCCCUACCCCAAGGUAUGAGACAUACACGCCCUUGAAUGCCACAUGCGCGGCCAUUUACCCCAGCAUAGCUCACCUGAUACCAAAGCCAAAGCCGAGGCACCCAGAUUACACGCCCCCAAAUAACGCGGGCAUGUUUUGUUGCUACCAUGAGCAUAACAGGCCAUGAUAGCGAGAAAUGUAUCAUCCUCCGUGAUCGUAUUGAAGCUUUGGCACGAGAAGGAAAAAUUGAUCAAUUCCUCCUUCACCCUCAAAGGGAUAACCGUAACCAACGCCAGGUGAAUGUCAUAUAUUCCAUAAGCGGCGGCACACCCAUAUCUGAAUCUUCCAAUAGGGCCAUGAAAAACAGUGAACGAAUUCUGAGGCCUGGUCACCAAGUGUUUCACGUGGAAGACAUCAGGGGAGGGAAGUAUCAAAAGCCUAACUGGGAUCCGAUAUGUUUCUACCCUGAGGAAGAAAGAGGCAUCAUCUACCCUCAUAACGACCCAUUGAUCGUGGAGGCUCACAUAGCCAACUUUGAUGUUCGACGAAUCCUCGUAGACACAGGGGCUUCGGUCAAUAUCAUGUUUGCCGAAGCUUUCAGGGCACUCAGUGUAGCUGAACACUUGCUCGAUCGCUCGAUUUCUCCUCUGAUAAGCUUCUCCGGUGAUAUCGUGCAACCCUUAGGGAGCAUACAUUUACCCUUUACUAUUGGUACAGGCCCUUACACGGCUACCAUUACCACUAACUUCCUAGUGGUUGACUGCCCAACGGCAUACAAUGUCAUCUUUGGGCGCACAGGCAUCAAUGAUCUCAAGGCUAUGGUAUCCACGCAUAUGCUGUUGAUGAAAUUUCCAACCCCCCAUGGCAACGGCUACAUCAGAGGAGAUCAGCUUAGUGCACGAUCAUGUUACAACACUUCAGUUAAGCAACAACACUUGCCCGGACCCAAGGAAACCCUGUCUGUACAUGACCAAGUCACAAAGACCAGCCUAGAUGAAGCGAACUUGGAUCUUCCUGAUAGCAACAAUCAACCCGAUGAUCCUCGAGAUGACUCUUUCACCCAGCAAGCCCAACCUGCUGAAGAGUUGGAGAAGGUACCUAUCUCAAGAGAUUAUCCAGAUCGCAUGGUGAAGAUUGGCACCACAUUGUCACCACCCCUUCGGUUAGCAUUGAUAUCUUUUUUGAAAGAGAACACUGAAGUCUUCGCCUGGUCAUACGAGGACAUGCCAGGCAUCUCUCCCGAUGUCAUCUGUCAUCGUUUGAGUAUUGACCCCAAGAUCAAGCCGGUGAGACAGAAGCGAAGAUCUUAUGACGCUGAACGAUACGAGGCAAUGAAAGCAGAAGUUGAAAAAACUCAAAGGCAUAGGCUUUGUCCGCGAAGUCAAUUACCCGACAUGGGUAGCAAAUGUGGUCCUUGUUAAGAAAAAUCCGACCAAAGAAAGUCUUUUGCUUCAAAAGGUCUUGUGGAGAAUGUGUGUUGACUACACCGACCUAAACAAAGGGUGUCCGAAAGAUAGCUUCCCUCUUCCUCUUAUUGACAGACUUAUAGACUCUACGGCCGGGUGUGAACUCCUGAGCUUCAUGGAUGCUUACUCAGGAUACAACCAAAUCCUCAUGAACCCUUCGGAUCAAGAACACACAGCCUUCACUACCGACAGAGGACUAUACUGCUAUAAAGUCAUGCCUUUCGGCCUAAAGAAUGCAGGAGCGACUUAUCAGAGACUAGUCAACUCAAUGUUCGCCGAGCAGAUUGGGAAGAGCAUGGAAGUUUACGUUGAUGAUAUGUUAGUCAAAAAGCAAACAUGCUGACCAACACAUCACCAACCUAUCUGAAACUUUCACUAUUUUUGAAGAGGUAUCGAAUGAGGUUAAACCCCAACAAAUGUGCCUUCGGCGUAGGCUCUGGCAAAUUCUUAGGUUUCAUGAUUAGCCAACGAGGCAUUGAAGCUAAUCCCGAGAAGAUCAAAGCAAUCCUCGACAUGAAGGAACCGGUAACUUCAAAGGACAUCCAGAGCCUUACUGGCAAGGUGGCAGCCUUAACCAGGUUCAUUUCUAAGGCCACAGACAAAUGUGCUCCCUUUUUUAAAGCACUUAAGGGAAGUAGGAAGUACAUUACAUGGACUGAUGAAUGUGCCGAGGCAUUCAAAAACCUCAAGGAGUACAUGAGUAAAGCCCCUCUACUCUCCAAGCCCGAGGUAGGAGACAUUCUCAUUAUCUACCUAUCGGUAUCAGCUUCAGCCGUAAGUUCCGUUCUCAUUCGAAAGGAUGGGAAUAUUGAGCGACCUGUCUACUACGCUAGCAAAGCCUUACAAGAUGCGGAGACACGGUACUCUAACAUUGAGAAAUUGGCUCUGGCAUUGGUCAUGUCUGCUCGAAAACUCCGCCCUUACUUUCCAAGCGCACUCCAUCAUCGUGCUUACCAAUUAUCCUCUUCGACAGAUACUCCAAAGUCCUGACACUUCAGGGCGAAUGAUCAAAUGGGCAAUAGCGUUGGGUGAGUUUGACAUCUCCUACCAACCAAAGCCAGCUGAGAAGGGCCAAGCAGUGGCAGACUUCAUUGCCGACUUCACAUAUCCGGUUGACAUUGCUUCUACACCUGAAGCAGUGGCUUCAUUACCCCCGGAAGCUCAGAAGAUAGAACCAACAACCCCAGCAUGGAGUCUGUAUGUUGAUGGCUCAUCCAACCAACAGGGCUGUGGAGCGGGACUAGUCUUGACUACACCCGACAAAGUAGCAAUGGAGUAUGCUCUUCGUUUCAAAUUCAAGGCAUCAAAUAAUGAGGCCGAGUAUGAAGCCCUUCUAGCAGGAUUACGUUUGGCCAAACACCUCGGGGUUAAACAAAUUGAUAUUUUCAGUGACUCCCAAUUGGUGGUCAACCAGGUUACCAACAACUUUGAUGCUAAGGACAGCUCCAUGGCAGCAUAUCUUGCGCAAACACAACUUUUGCUCAAGCACUUCCACUACCAGAUCACCCAAGUUCCUCGAGCGGCAAACAGUCAUGCAGACGCCCUGGCUCGCCUCGCCUCGGCUGUGGAAGACAAGAUUGGAAGAAAAAUUCAUGUCGAACUGUUGGCAACACCAAGCACCAUGGCCGCAGAAGUAUGCAACUUACAACAGGGGGAUAGUUGGAUCACCCCGAUCUAUAAUUUCCUUGCUCAUGGCACCCUCCCAAAUGAUAAAGUCCAGGCUAAGCAAAUUCGAUACAAGUCUACCCGCUACCUGAUCAUCAAUGAUCAACUCUAUAAGCGAGGUUUUAGCCUGCCAUACUUAAGGUGUCUUACGCCUGCCGAGGCGGAAAUCGUCCUUCGGGAAAUACAUGAGGGAGUCUGUGGAGAUCAUGCUGGAUCUCGGUCCCUAGCACACAAGACUUUUCGCCAAGGAUAUUACUGGCCAACACUCCACCAGGAUGCCAUCAAAGUAUCCCGCUCAUGUGACAAAUGUCAACGAUAUGCGGCUAUUCCUCAUUCCCCUCCAGAGCCUCUUACUCCUAUGAUCAGCCCUUGGCCCUUCGCCCAGUGGGGACUUGAUUUGAUCGGCCCAAUGCCGGCAGGGAAGGGCAAAGUCUGUUACGCAGUCGUUGCAGUGGACUACUUCACAAAGUGGGCCGAAGUAGAACCCUUGGCAACCAUUACUGAGGCAAAGAUAGAAGACUUCGUGUGGAAGAACAUCCUUUGUAGAUUCGGCAUUCCCAAUGCGAUAGUCACUGACAAUGGGCGACAGUUUGACAACAAGAAGUUCAGGUUGUUCUGCUCUAAGUUCAACAUCAACUUAUGCUUUGCCUCUCCAGCUCAUCCCCAGUCUAAUGGACAAGUUGAGGCCAUCAACAAAAUAAUCAAGCGCACUUUGAAAACCAGCUUGGACAAAGCUAAAGGCUGUUGGCCAGAAUUUGUACCCCAAGUUCUUUGGUCAUAUCGCACUUCAUAUCGGACUUCAACAGGAGAAACUCCAUUCUCACUUGCCUUUGGCACAGAGGCGGUUGUCCCUGUUGAGCUCGAGCAAGCAACAUUCCGAGUCCAGAACUACAUUCAAAGUGAAAAUGACAAACAACUCACCCUCAACUUGGAUUUAGUCGAGGAAGGAACACAGAAACCAAGCUCACUUGAGGAAUGUCGCCUACAAGCAGCGCAUCUCCAACUAUUAUGACUCUAGGGUCAAGCCUCGUUCUUUCAAAAUAGGAGACUGGGUCUUAAAGAAAAGAUUACUCUGCGACAGAGUCCCGAGUGAAGGCACACUUAGUCCAAACUGGGAUGGACCGUAUGAAGUCAUUGGCAUCAGUCGCCCUGGCUCUUACACACUUAGAAGCUCCGAUGGCAAGACCCUUGGCCAUCCAUGGAACGCUGAUCACUUGAAGUACUACUAUAAAUAGACUCACGAUGUACAAGUGUUGAGCUAUAGCCGUUCGGCAUCCUAUGUAAUGAAGGCCAUUUGGCAAUGAAUUCAAUAAAGAGGUAAUUUAGCCAAGCUCAUCUUUUACAUCCAAGUCUUCCACAGUCACUACAAAACAAGCAAAUGAAGACCGUGUCAAGCGCCAAAAAAAAAAAAAAAAAAAAAAAAAAAAAAAAAACAGCUCCAUCCAAAAAGCUUCACCCGAAAAGCUUCACCUCCAAAGCUUCACCAUCAAAGCUUCACCCAAAAAGCUUCACCUAAAAAAGCUUCACCCAAAAUAAAACUUCACCUCCAAAAAGCUUCACCCAAACAGCUUCACCUAAAAAAGCUUCACCCACAAAGCUUCACCUAAAAAGCUUCACCCACAAAGCUUCACCCAAAAAGCUUCACCUCCAAAACUUCACCCAAAAAGCUUCAUCCAAAAAGUUUCACCCAAAAAGCUUCACCCAAAAAGCUUCACCAAAAAAAAAAAAAAAAAAAAAAACUUCACCUCCAAAAAGCUUCACCCAAACAGCUUCACCCACAAAGCUUCACCUAAAAAGCUUCACCCACAAAGCUUCACCCAAAAAACUUCACCCGAAAAGCUUCACUUAAAAAAGCUUCACCUACACAGCUUCACCUAAAAAAGCUUCACCUAGAAAGCUCCCUCUACAUACUUUCACCUACAAAGCUUCACCAUCAAAGCUUCACCUCGAAAGCUUCAUCUACAAAGCUUCAUCUACAAAGCUUCACCCAAAAAGCUUCACCUAAAAAAGCUUCACCCAAAAAAAACUUCACCUCCAAAAAGCUUCACCCAAAAAGCUUCACCUAAAAAGCUUCACCCACAAAGCUUCACCACAAAGCUUCACCUAAAAAAGCUUCACCAAAAGCUUCACCUACAAGCUUCACCCAGAAAGCUUCACCAUCAAAGCUUCACCUAGAAAGCUUCAACACCAAAGCUUCACCUACAAAGCUUCAACACAAAACCUUGCUCCAAAUAAACAAAUUUUGUUCACAAAACCCAAGAUGCCCUUGAACUUGUACAAAAACACUUGGGUAAACAUAAACAUUUUUUGUUUUACACCCACAAGGGCCCAAAAUUUUCCUUCUUAUUUAUUCACUUAUAUAUGUUCCCAAACAUAUUAUAAUAGAUCCAACAACAAGCCAAAGUCCCAAGUUUUCAUAAUGGACAAAAGUACAAGCAAUUCAUCAAUAAUGAAGGUGCUACAAAAAUUGGAAUCUGCCCCAAAAUAGAAAUCCAACCCAAGAGACUUUUUCUCUCUCUCUCCCUCUUCCGCCUCCUUUCAUCUAUCAAAUUUCUGCAACCUCUGCUCUUCUCCAAUGGAGCUGAAUUUUGGACACCCUAUAGUUCUUGAGCAUAUGAACAACUUUCAAGAAGGAACCAUUUCUGUUUGAGCGACGGAAAUUAAAGUGUUGAAGCUCCAAACAUGAUAGUCGGCUUCUUGCAGAUUUCGAAGCUGCUUGUGAUGUUUCGAAGAUCUGGAAAUAUUUAACCGUUAGUUCAUUCCUGAAUUUUUGAUAUGUUAUGAAAGAGACGAUGAGGAACAACUUCAAUGAAGAAAGCAUGCCGAUCUGAACAAUAGAAAAUGGAGUUUCGAAGCUCACAACAAAUCUGACGGGUUGACAGAAAAAUAAUAACCAGUCAUUCAUCAUACCUGAAUUUCUUGAGUUAUACAGCUCCGAGGGAUCUCAAAUUUGGAUAUGUUGUAGUUCACAAGCUGAGGAACAACUUCAAUGAAGAAAGCAUGCUGAUCUGAGCAAGAGAAAAUAGAGUUUCAAAGCUCACAACAAAUCUGACGGGUUGACAGACAAAUGAUAAAACCAGUCACUCAUCAUACCUGGAUUUCUGGAGUUAUACUGCUCCGAGGGACCUCAAAUUUGGAUAUGUUGUAGUUCACAAGUUAAGGAACAACUUCGAUGAAGAAAGUAUGUUGAUCUGAACAAGAGAAAAUGGAGUUUCGAAGCUCACAACAAAUCUGACAGGUUGACAGAAAAAAUGAUGAACAGUCACUCAUCAUACCUGAAUUUCUGGAUUUGUACUGCUCCGAUGGAUCUCAAAUUUGGAUAUGUUGUAGCUGACAAGGUGAGGAACAACUUCGAUGAAGAAAGUAUGUUGAGAUGAACAAGAAAAAAUGGAGUUUCGAAGCUCACAACAAGUCUGACGGGUUAACAGAAAAUUGAUGAACAGUUACUCAUCAUACCUGAAUUUCUGGAGUUGUACUACUCCGAUGGAUCUCAAAUUUGGAUAUGUUGUAGUUCACAAGAUAAGGAACAACUUUCAUGAAGACGACUUUGCGAUCUGAGCUAUAGAGAAUGGUGUUAUCUUGCAUCCACUCAGGCUGAUUAGUGGAAACGAAAAGCAAUUCCACCAAAGAAAAGAUGAAAAAGAGAGAAAAAGCUACUAAUUGCACUUGAUCUUGUCUAGUCAAUAGCAUGCAGCAUCAAACACACAAAAGUUGGAAAUAUUUUUAGAUAAAGCAUAUGCGAAUGUGUGACAUCGAAACAAGGAUUCGUUACUUUGACAAAUUAGUAACAAGCGAGACACCUCAUUCGGCAACUCUCUUCGCCUGAAGACUUGGGGGACUCCCACCAUAUGCUACUGCACCUUGAUACUCGGCAGUCUCACAACCACUCAGUGACUUGGAUUUUUCAAGUCUCCAACCGAGAAGUUUUCCUCACUCGGGAAAUUAAGGGAACACUACCUCAAACUACAUGCUUCACUCACAAAGCUUCAACAAUACAGGUUUCAACAAAAGCAAAAAAUUCAAAGAACUUUAUGAAGAAGGCUUUGGUGUAUUUAACACAAUAUGUUGAAAUGAAGCAAAGCUUAUUUAUUAAUAUUUUCGAUAAGCCACAAAUAUGUACAUAUACAUGAGUCAAAAUAAACAAACAAAAGGGAGCCUUCACAAAGGUUGCUUAGGGGAAGUCUCAGCAGUCGGUAGAGCCCCAGAAAGAGAAAGCACCGGAGGGUGGUUAUCCGGAGCCUCAGUACUUGACAAAACCCCAGAAGGAGGAGGCAUUGGAGGUUCAUCAUUUGAAGCUUCAUUACCAGGUACAGCCCCAGAGGACGAAGGCAAUAAAUGCCUUUGGAACAAACCCACAAACCGCUGAUGAUCAAGUAAAACCUUACCAUCAGAUUCCUUCAUCUGGUCAAGCUUCCUCUUCAUGUUUGUAGCAUAGUCAUGGGCGAGCCGGUGCAACUGCUUAUUCUCAUGCUUGAGCCCUCUAAUCUCCUGUUUGAGACUCAUCACUUCAGCAGCCAAUGAUUCAACUUGGCGGGUUCUAGCAAAUAGGCGUUGGGCCAUAUUAGACACAGAACCUGCACACUGAACACUAAGAGCCAGAGAGUCCUUAACAGCCAACUCAUCAGACCGUUUGGAAAGUAGUCUGUUAUCUUUGGGAGUGAGAAGGUUCCUGGCCACCACUGCAGCGGUCAUAUCAUUCUUCAUCACAGAAUCCCCAACGGUAAGAGGACCAGUAGGGGAUAUGAAGGAUGGGCGCCAUAUGUUGUCUGGAGAAGGCGUGGCUGUCUCUUCUCCAAGGUUCAAGUCAAAACGACGGUCGGAGGGUCCAGACAUUUUCAAAUGUGUUGAAGAAGGAAGAGGUCAGACAAAUCAAGAUCUUAGAAGUGCAAGAAAUGAGCUUCUACUGGUAGAGAUUCAAGUGUGCUGUGGAACUUAAUGCCAGCCUCUAUAAAAAUCUGCACUCGACGGAGCUUCAGAAAUCGAAGAGGCGUUUGCUUUCUCAAAAGCUGGGCUGCUCAGAGACCACGAGGGCCGAUCUCAGAAAUCGAAGAGGCGUUUGCUUUUCUCAAAAGCUGGGCUGCUCAGAGACCACGAGGGCCGAUCUCAGAAAUCGAAGAGGCGUUUGCUUUCUCAAAAGCUGGGCUGCUCAGAGACCACGAGGGCCGAUCUCAGAAAUCGAAGAAGCACCUGCUUUUUCAGCCUCGUCAGCACCUGUCACAUGCACAAUCAGCUUUGCGGAAAUUACGGGCAAUCUGUCGAAGAUUUCUGGUGAAGUAGAAAGCACGUGAAUCUUACUGUUCAAUCACCGCUCUCCAUAUGCACCAUCAACUCCUCGGGUACCACAUAUAACUUUGUCAAAGAUCUCUGACAAAGUUUAGGCACGAGAAUUUCGAAGUUCCAGCUACCCUACUAUUACCCAUAAGGGUAAAGGAACAGCACCACUGCUUGACAACUGGAAAGUCCCUAUGUGUGUCGACCUCCGUGUUUUGCGGCAAGACAGGUUGGCAAGAACGUCCAACCUUUACUCACAUUCGAGAAAAGACUCCCAACAUAAUUACUUUCUCAAAAACCGGAGUAGCACCGCUUUCCGAAUCUCGAGAGUCAGAUCCUCGACGGGAUUGCUUGUUCGAAAACCGAAGAGGCACAACUCUCAGAACUUCGAGAGCCAGAUUUCCUUAGAUAAAGCUUGUCUGUAAUCUUCACACGUAACAUCAGCUUUCCAGAUACCACAUACCACUUUUUCAAAGUGCUCUGACAAAAUUAAAACACGUGAAGCUGGCAGCUCCCACUACAUUGCUGUGACCAAGAAGGGUAAAGGAAUAGCAUUACUACUUGUUAUUGGGAAAUCCCUAUAUACAUUGACCUCCCUCCUCAACGGACAGGCAAACCUGCAAAAAAUGCUCAACCCUUUCUCGCAUUCGAAAAGGCACCCUCAACAUAACCUCUCGAAAUACUCAGCUUUAUUUCCCCCCGAUAAUACCUCAGCAAAUAAGCCACACCAAGAACAAGAGUAUCUCAUAUCAUCAGGGUCGAAAGCAAGAGUAUCCCAUAUCAUGCUUUCUCCCUGUCUUUGUCUUUGUCCUUGUCCACACCUGCAGGACAAGGAGAAAGAGAGCAGUCAGUCGGAACCUGAAAUCAAACCUCCAAUUUGGAACUGACUGCCUGGAGCCUUUGCCUGGUUGCUUACUUAGCAUUGCUCUCGAGUACUCAUCCUCAACUGCUGUCAAGGUCACGAAUUCCACCGGCAAAUACCUCAUGACAGUUGAUCAGAUAUUGGCUCUUUACACUGAAGCUGCCAAGCGUGGAUGAGUCACUAUGAAGGAAUGUUCUGAAGGACCAUUUAAAUGCAAAGGUUGCACACCACUUCUGCCAUGCAAAAGAUUGAAGCAGAAGGUUCAACGGUGAGCUGAAACAGAUCACUACAGCACGACACCUUUCCAUACCACAUUCAUUAUUCCGUCAACAGCAAAAGUAUCCCAUAUCAUCAAGGUCGAACGUACUCUAGAUUUGAUGGACUUGUUUUGACCCUCAAAUUUUUGAGUCGGCCUUAUACUCUGAAGGGCACCAGAAAACCCUCCAGCACAGUUCAAGAAUAAGCCUGUGGAAAGUUACUUCUUCAAAAGCAAAAGUAUCUCAUAUCAUCUCUCUUAUCCAUUUGCUUCUCCUUAUCCUGGCAGUUGAAUGAGAGACAAGGAGAAGGAGAACAAUCAACCGGAAGCCGAAGUCAAACCUCUGAUCCUGGGUUGCUUACUUGGAAGUUUGACUGCUUACCUUGUCUGUCACCUCUUUCGGCAGAUCUCCUAGCUCGGCGACUUGGGGGACUCCUACUAUAGGGUUUGUAUCACACUUGACUAAGCCCGAAACUACAACUAAGCUUCAAGUGAAAUUGAUACAUUACCUUGUGCGUCAACAUCAGCUAAAUACACCAUUCCCGGAUGGAGGAAAGGUACUUCCAGAGAAGGGCAGAUGAAGAUCAGACCACACUUCGGUACUUAGAAGUUUCGUGAUUACUCAAGGGAUUGGAUCUUGCAAGUCCCCAACCGAGGAGUUUCCCUCACUCGGGAACUUAGGGGAGCACUGUUUGUACCAUACUUGACCAAUCCCGAAACUACCGAGCACCGGCCAACGCUAUACUGUCAAGGACCCAGAAGAGUUCCCCUCCGACCAGGAGGCCAAUCACUACUCGACACGUGUCAAGAUUAGAAGCCAAUCAGAGCGCAGCACGUGUCAACAUCAAGAACCAAUCAUAACAUGACACAUGUCAAUGUGACAAAGCUACAAGUUUUUCUAUAAAUAGGGGUCAUUCCCCCACAAUAUUGCCUAAUGCUAUUUUGUGUUAAAUCAUUCACAAGAACUCACUAAAUUGAGAGCUUGAUCCUUUGUACUUGUGUAAGCCCUUCACUACUAAUAAGAACUCUUCUACUCCGUGGACGUAGCCAAUCUGGGUGAACCACGUACAUCCUGUGUUUGCUUCUCUGUCUCUAUUCAUUUACGUACUUAUCCUCACUAGUGACCGAAGCAACCAAGCGAAGGUCAUAAAACCUGACACUUUCUGUUGUACCAAAGUCUUCGCUGAUUUUGUGCAUCAACAAUAUCCUUAAGGAUAUAACAAUCCUCUAUCGUAUGGCUAAUGAGUCGAUGAUACUGACAAUACUUUGGAUCAUCGGUCUUAUUUACUUCAGCGGGACGCUUUGGUUCAAGAAUCGUGAUCAUCUUUGCUGCAAGGAGUUCAUCGAAGAUAGUUCCAACAUCUUCAUCAUCAAAACUAUAUUUAACUUCUUUUCUUUUUACAUUGUCACUUUUCUUGUCUAUUUUGACAAAUGUCGCCAUAGAAUCUCCUUUCUUUGGCGUUCUUUUGUUAUCUCCUUUCUUGGUGUUAGACUUAUUUUCUAAGUCUUGGAUCAUAUUUCCAAUCACAUUUUUCUGGGACAUUUGCUUCUCCACAUUACUUGCUUUGGAUACCAACUCAUUGAAAGUUCGAGGCUCCGCAAUUCUUACAAAUGUUGCAAUCUCAGGGAUGAGGUUAUUGUAACAUAUUUGCACUGCUGAAAAUUCAGAAAUCUUUUCCAUGCAUUGUAGGUUAAGGCUUCUCCAUCUUGUGAUGAAUUCGCUCGCGCUUUCUCCGAGCCUUUGUGUUGUUUGAGCUAAAUCCAUUAACGUGACCUUUUUCUUUGAACUGACGAAUUGAGCUAGAAAAACUCUUUGCAUAUCAUCCCAUGUUAUAAUAGAUCCUGGCUCUAACUGAGUGUACCAUAUGAAAGCAGACCCUUUGAGUGAUUGAACAAAUUGUCAAACCAAUAAGGGAUUUGACUGCGAUGUUUCCCCACAAGCUGAGUAAAAAUGAGCUAAGUGUUCUUGAGGAGAACCACUUAAACCAUCAAAUUUAUCAAAGCUCGGUUUUUUAUACCCUCAGGGAAAUGGCACUGUGUCAUAGUGAGUUGGAUAGGGCUUCCGGUAUCCGAGAAUUGGUGUCGUUAAAGACAUUUGAAAUUCACGAAUCUUUUCAGCGAAAAUUGCAUUGAUAUCUUGAUGCGUAAGUUGGCUACCGGAACGUUCUCCUUCUGUUUCUUUCCUUGCUCUUUCUUCAGCAUUAUUUAUGCUAGCUUGAGCGGCUAACUGAGCUGCUAAAGUCGCAAUUUCAGCUUCCUUAUAAGCUACCAAAACCGCCAUUUCUGCUUCUUUUUCUGCUAGUUUUCGUUGCAUUUCUAGCAAUUGUUCUUCUGUAUUUGAUGCCCUAGUCAUCAAAACUUGCAUGUUCUCAGAUUCGGUGUCUUCAUUUAUCUCCAACUUUUGGAAUUGAGUCAUUACUCUAGGAAUCUCUUCUUGGGAAAAAUAUUCGUUUCCUCUAAGAAUGUCUUCAAGGGAUGAACUCUCGAGAGAGUGGAUUGCCAAUGCUCGGGCCCUUGCACGUGUGAUAGGCCCUCAAUUUGAAUGUUGUUACCUUCCUCAACAAGUUCGUAGGCCUUGGCCUUUUGUUGAACAUUUCCGGAUACUAUUGGCAGAAUUUCUUCAUCUUCCUUGAUAAAGGUCAUCAUGACCGAUUCCAUUAUAGGUAAAGUGAUCAGGAUUGUUCCGAUCAUGAUUUGAGUGAUGACGGGAACCUUGAUAGGCGGUGAUGAUGUUACUUUGACGAUCUUGCGUCGUGGCACCUUGGUGUUCUUAGAUGAAACAACUCCAAGAAACUCCAUUGGAAUGAUUUCAAUGUCUUCAAGUAAACGAUCCCUAGUGAUCUUCUUCCUAAGAGCUCGUGCCGCUCUCUUCCUUGCAUUCCUUAAGGCGUUCUUGGACGAACAUUUCUUCGGCCCAACUUUGAUGACUUUGACAGCCACCUUGCUUGUCUUUGUUGCUAUCUUAGCCUUCACCAUGUUGCAGAUAGUUGGUGCUUCAUUGAUGGUGAAGGAGAUUUGGCGACCAGCAUGCCUUCCAUGUCCAAGUUUGGAUUCAGCAGCAGGGAGUUCGUGGAAGUAAACAGUAACUUGUGGCGCCAUGUUUCCUGUUACAAAAACAAAAAACAUAGCACAUUAAUUAUCUUCAAAAUUAGAGAUGAAAGGGAAAAUGGGUCCCAAUGGGCGUGCCAAAAAUUAUGUUGAGCAAAAAUUGUAUACAAUAUGUAAACAAAUAAUUCACUCGACAUAAUUUCACCCUCGUUCAUUUUUCUUAAGAGUGUUUUAUUAAUUCGAGUUCGAUCCAUUCUAGGCUACGCGCCUAUUAAUUACAACCCUUCUUUUGGGAAAGGAAUACCCUUUGAUUCUAAUAUGAAUAAAUCAUAACUUAGGGAUUUGGGUGUUUAUUUGAUUUUGUGACUGUGUCUAGGUAGAGCCCUAGAUUGCCUACGUACCCUCGUUGAGGGAUCAAGUCACUCGUAGUUCUUUAUGUGUUUUGUUGGAGUUUGAUGCCUUGUGCAGUUUCAGCUCGUGCAGGCAAGGAGCAAUUGAUGCCUUGUGCAGUUUCAGCUCAUGCGGACGAGGACUUUAAGCCGUUGUAGCGUUUAAUGCCUUGUGCAGUUUUAGCUUAUGCGGGCGAGGACUUUAAACCAUUGGAGUUGGAUGUGGCUUCAUGCCAUUUGAGUCUUGUUGCGGCUUCGUGCCGUUUGAUAUUUGAUACGGCUUCAUGCCAUUUGAGAUUUUUUUCUUCGGCUUUGUGCCAUCUGACAUUUGAUACUGCUUCCUUCCAUUUGAAACUUGACAUGACUUUGUGUUGUUCGUCCCUAUUUUUAUUUACAGAGUCCAAAAUAUAAAGCUCACGUGAAUACAAAAUUGUUGUUUUACUUCAAUCUCACAUGGAGCAACAUCCCCUAUAAAACUAGGAACUUGUGCUUGAAGACUUCUCUUUUAUUCUUUGUAGAAUUUGUAAUUACUUGAUCAAAGUAGUAGGAGUGAAUUUAGUUUAUAUAAACCAGGGAUUCGUCUUGAUUUCAUGGUUGCGUCUGAAAUUUGAUAUUAAACUAUCUACGUAUCCUUAACGGAAUCAAACCAGCGUAGUUCGUAAAUUUUGAGACUCAUCGCGGCUUUGUGCCAUUUAAUACUUGAUAUGGCUUCGUGCCAUUUGUAUCUUGUAAAUUUAAUGGGAAUAUUUGUGAUGAACCCACUAUUACUUUGGUAUUUGACUUUGUCUUGGUGCCGUGCAUCUCAGACUUCUUGAAUAAAUUUAACUUUGAUAGAUGCCAUAUUCAUAAAUCCCAUAUGAGUAAUAUGGAAGAGCUACUCUUUUUUUCUUUCUGGUUUCGUGGAUAGCCUUCCCAUUUUAAUUUGAGGGAAUUGUAUGUAGCAAGCUUUUUAUUUCUUCCCUUGUACACUUUGAUUUUUCUAAGUCCAGAUGGGAUAUCACAUGGCGUCAAAGUCUUAGCACAAAAAGGCUUUUGAUGGAAUUCUUUAACAAGUAGCUUCCCCUUUUUUUUUUAUAAUUUUCUUUUGAAUUUUCAUACCUAUUUAUCAUAGGAUUUUGAACCCAUUUGACCCAAGACCUAAGUUUUUUUUUUCUUUUAACCUGCCAGCAGGUUUUACUUUUUUUUUAUGCCUUUAAGGCUUCAAAGCUCAACACCCACGUGAGGUGCAGUGUAGACUCCCAAUUUCAAUACCCUCUAUUCUUUUCCACGUGAGGUGCAGCUUUAUUCACCCUUUUCUCUUGCCUUGCGAGAUGGCUUUACAAAUCCUUUGUUUUUUAGUUCCAACACACGGUGCUCUUCCAUCAGAAACCGAAAGCAGUUCCGCAAUAUUUAGGCUUCCGUUGAUUUCGCCAUGUUUUUGAAAUUCCUUUUGGGUUUGUCAGCCGUUGAUUUCCUAACGAAGAUAGGUAAGACUGGAGUUCUAUCUCUUUUUGAAUUGUUCCAAUUUAUCCUUUUUCCCCCCUUAAAUUGCAGAUUCCCCCUUUUGUGCAGGUCACGAAACUUUCAUUUUUUUUUUUGCUACAUCAUUCUUUUGUUUCUUGCCACGUCUGUUUUUCUUUUUUGUGGAUCGAAGACUCGAAACGAAGAGGGCAGAGGGUGUCAAGCAGGUUACCCAUUUUCAUUUUCUUUAUGUUCUGGGUUUGUUUAUGUAUUUGGAGUGAAGUGAAGCUCUAAACUGCGAUAAAUUUUGUGUGCAGGCGUCAGGGGCAACGACCUCUCUUCCAUUUGGUUGUUGGACAUACUGUUUUACAAUACCAAGUUCUUUGAAAACAAGUGUUGAUUCAUGGCUCCAAAGGUGAGGAUUGCACUCUGAAAUUUGUAGGGUGCCUUCAUAGUAUUUGUUGUAUUUGUGUGCUGCCUUCUAUGUUUAAUUGGAAUAGAAUUAUACUUUUCCAUUUGUAUGUCUGGCGAGUGGCUUUACAAAUAAUUGUGCUCAUGAUAAUUUUGUCCUGCUUGUUUGUACUUGUGUAACUGAUUUGUAUACCAGGUCUUUGGGUGUUAACACAUAGGUUGCCCUGUGAAUGAGUUUCCCAAUUAAUUUUGGGAAGUUUUGACAUCAAGCUUUGAACUCUUUUUUUUUUAUAUUCACAUGGCAGAGAAGCAAGUGAAACUUUUUGACACAAUGAAAGUUUUGUCCCAUCUUCAUGUGGCAAAGAAGGUUGCUUGUCCAUUUAAAGAUUGGGAAAUUUUCCCUUUCUUUCCUUGUCUUAUAGCAUUUCAAUGUCUUUUUUGGUCAAAGCUUUGACACAAUGUUUGAUCAAAACUUUGACACAAUUGUAGCAUUUCAAGGCUUUGAACCUUCUUCACGUCUCCUUCCUUCUUUGUCUUUAUCAAAGUUGUGUUGGGGACUUUUCUUUUGUCAUCAUCAAAAUUUCUGAUUUCUUUUCCUUUGUUUAUUUGUCAACACAUGCACUUACUCUCUUUAGCUUUUCCAAACAUGAUAACCACCUUCUUUAGCUUUUACAGAAAACUUUUCUUCAUUUAGUCAUUCUCUUAGAGCAUAUUUUUCUACUUUUCUUCUUGCAUUGGGGAAUUUCCAAGCAUGAGUCGGUCAAGUGGUAUUUUUGGCUUCUUUUCCUUUGCUCAUAUGUACUUAUAUGGUCAUUUGUCUACAUGUGCAUUUUUCUUUGUUCCCUUGUCUCUUUUAUCCAAAUAUGACUUCCACCUGCAUGUCCCCAUAUGUUAAAGAAAAACAACUUUUCUUCUUCCUCCUCUUCACGUGUAUGUCUCCAUGUCUUGUACCCGUGAGUAGCACCAAACAGAACAAUUUCUUACCCCUUGAGUUGUAUCUCGGUAUAUGUUGCUUCCUUGCUGUUUUUCUUUACAGAAACUGAGCUUGGGAUUUUGAAGUUGCACUUGCCAGUCCGGUGAGGGGGUAUAGACCAUUUAGACUCGGUUAAAACUUCACAGGGUGGUCUAGGCCACCCCGAAGAAAUUCAUGGGAUUCUUGGAGAUUAUUUCUGCUGCUGUUAGUGGGGAGUUAUGUCGUUCAAAGUCUCCACCUCCAUCCGAGCAAAGAGACAAAAGCCAAAAGAUGGCUAAAAGAAAGAUUAGAGAAAACAUGAUUUGUCCUUCUCCUUUUUUUUUUUUUGCGUUGUAGACCAUUGCCGAGCAAAGGGGAAUGUCGUGGACCAUUGCCUGGUGGUCUUCUACUGCCAUGUAUUUUUUUUUUUUGUUGCUUCUUCUUUUGUGUCCUUCUCUGUCUUUUGCAUAUAUAUAUAUAUACACACACACACACAUAUUACCCUGCUUUUGUCUGCAACAUAACAUCAAACAAGAGAAGAAUAAUUUUAACAGGGCUUUGUUUCAUACCUGGUGGUGAAUGUUCUUCUUUAGAUCUUGGCUUGAAAGCACGAAUGGUUGAACUCGUUCUCUUUUUUUGGCAGCACUUCGUUGCUUUUGGUAUUUUCUCUCAAAGUUUCUCUAUUUUCUGCAGAGUUUCCCCUCUCUUUUUUUUUUGUCUGUCUCCUCUCUUGCUGUGGCUGAUGCCUAUUUAUAGGCAUCCCAAGAAAGCUCUAGAAUUUUUUUUACAUGGGGGGAGAUGGAGGCCAUGACCUCCUAUCACUUUCCCUUAACUUCUCCCACUAACUAUGCAGUUUUUUUUCAUGCUUUGCAGAAAAUUAGGAGACCCUGUUUUGCACAGUUUCUUCCCCCUUUUGUAGGAAGAAAUUCAUA